AAAUACAGUAUGUUGUGGUUAUAACUAAGCCUUAAUUUAUGGAAGGAAGAAAUGUGGAGACUCAUACCCUUUAAUUUGAUAGGUGAGGUAACAGAGAAGAUAAAAGAGUUUCCCACAAUCAUGACACCAGCUAGAGGCAAAGUUAACACUGGAACCCAGGUCUACUCAUUGCAGGACGGGUAAAUUGAUGUGAGUGGGGUGAACACAGUCGAGGAGUGAGAUCUGGCUUUGAAUCCUGACUUUUCCCCUUGACAGCUCUGUGACCUUGGCCAUGUCACUUAACUUCCCUCCGCUUCAAUGUCUUCAUCUACAAACCAGGAAUAAUAGUAUAUAUCACAAAAUGUAUCUAAGAUACAAAUGAGACACUGUGAAGUCCUUGGCACAGGGCAAUGAAAUAUGAACAGAAGCAUCAUGUGUCACCUCCUGGAGAAGCUGUGUGAGCCUGUGUGCAGCGGUCCAUCUUCCCUUGCCACUGUGGCACUGUCUGAGGAAUCAGGCAUCAAAAAGGAGCCUCUGUCUUCUUCAGUCCCUGAGAACAACAAAGAGCAGAUUCCCCCUCAAACCUUGGUUAAACAGGUUACAUGAACUUAUAAAAGAAGUAGAACACACAUGCUUCCCAUUAGGUGAGAAAGAAACAUGCCUGAGAGUCUAAUGGAUUACUCAAGUCUGUGCUGCCAAGGAAGAACAGAAUCUUUAGGUCUUCUGUGCAAAGUUGUGUCCACCCCCAAAGUCUGAAGUGGCUCCAUUCACAAACUUACAUGGAAUUUGGACUUGGCCAUCUUUCCUUUCAAGAAUAUAUGGUCCAUCACAUACCCAACUUUGAUUGUAAAUGGAGAAGCACAGCAGCCAUGGCUUGAGGAAGAUAAAAUGACCAUGAGCUCAGACUCCUCAGGAAUGAGUGUCUGGUUGACUACAGCAGAAAUCAAGAAAGAACUCAAAGACUGAUGAGUUGCAUCCAGCACACACAGGAGCAGAGGGAAGGGGUUCCCACUGGCUAAUUUUUGGAAAUAUAAAAUCAUGCUUCCCGUUCAAGAGGUUCACUCUGGGUAUAGACGGCAUUUCUGAAAACAUGGCAUUGACUGACAUUAUUGACAGUGGACUGGGAAUGGAAAGAUCAGAGUUCUUUGCAUGGCUGAGCAUCUUACUUUUCCUUGAUCUUGGGAAGGAAGGCGCCUUCUCUGAUGGAGAUUAUCUGUCAGUGAAACUAGAUUUUUAAGUUGCAGCCCUGGGCUUAUGGUGAAUUGGCAAGCACGUGUGAGAAAGAUCAUGUUGUCUUAAGCAACUUUGAUUCCAAGAGAAGAAGAGUAAUAUGAGUACUCCAGUCCAGUCACCUGAUGAGAGAUUCCUGAAGGGAGAACUUGCAUCUUCAAAGCGUUGGAGGUAGAAGGAAGACAGGCAGAAGGACAUCCCAGAAUCAACCCAGAAUGUGGUGGAAGUGACUGCAUCAACCCUGAGCCGACACACCCAGAAGCCUUGCAGACUUCUACUUCCUGCCUUGGAAUCCUGACAAGCCACUACUUAAGCAAAUGUGAGCUACCCUUUUAGUGGUGGUUACAUGGGAUUAGAUGAGAUACAUGGGGCCCGGAUUCCUGAUUGCCCCACUUGACAGCUGAGAAACACCUGGGAGCAGGGCUGCCCAGCUAACAUCUGCUGACUGCAGAUGAAUGAACAAGCCCAGCCAGAUAGAGAAGAAACAGUCAGCUGGGCCAUAAACAAUGUUUUGUAAUAAUCGUUUAUUUAUAUGGUUUACAUUUUGUUUAACUCUCAUUUUUUAAUGGGAAUAGGACUUUUUUAUUGUGGUAAAAUGUACAUAAUGAAAAUUUACCAUUUUAACUAUUUUAGCUGUACAAUUCAGUGGCAUUCAAUGUUGUGCAAUGCUCACAACUACUUCCAACUUUUUUCAUUAUUCCAAACAGAAACUCUAUGCCAUUAAGCAAUAACUUUUGAUUCUUCCCAUCCCCAGCUCUUGGUAAUCUCGAUUCUACUUUCUGCCUAUAUGAAUUUGCCUAUUUUAGACACCCCACAUAAGUAGAAUCAUACAAUAUUUGUUCUUUUGUAUUUGACUUACUUUACUUGGCAUAUUUUCAAGGUUCAUCAUGUUGUAUUAUGUAUUAGACUUUUAUUUCUACUUAUGGCCGAAUAUCAUCCUGUGGUAGAUAGAUAGAUAUAAAAUAUGGUAAAUAUAUGUAUAUAUAUUAUUUAUCUCUUCAUUUGUUAAUGGACACUUGAGUUGUUUCUACCUUUUGACUACUGUGAAUAACACUGCUAUGAACACUGGUAUAGAACUACCUGAGUGAGUGUCUGCUCAAUUACUCUGGGUAUAUACCUAGACGUUGAAUUGCUGGGUCAAAUAGUUAUUCUAUGUUGAACAUUUUGAAGAUUGCCAAAAUUUUCCAGAGUGACUGCAUCAUUUUAUAUUCUCACCAGCAGUUCACAAAGAUAACAUUUUCUCCACAUCCUUGCCAACACUUGUAAUUUUCUAUUUGUUUGAUAAUAGUCAUGCUAGUGAGUGUGAAGUGGUGAUAUCUCACUGUGGCUUUGAUUUGCAUUUUCCCAAUGACUAAUGAUGUUGAACAUUUUCUUUUUCAUGUGGUUAUUGAUCAUUUGUAUAUCUUCUUUGGAAAAACUGUCUAUUCAAGUCUUUUGCUCACUUUUUGAGUCAUUUCUUUUGUUAUUGAGUCAUAGGAGUUCCUUACAUAUUCUGGAUAUGAAUUUCUUUUCAGAUAUAUGUUUUAAAAAUAUUUUCUGUCAUUUUGUUGGUUUUCUUGAUAGUGUUCUAUCAUUACCAAGUGUCAAUGCUAAUUAAAAAAAAAUUUGAUGAAGUCUAAUUUAUUCAUUUUUAAAUUACUUGUAGUUUUAUUACCAUACUUAGAGACCAUUACCAAAUCUAAGGUCAUGACAAUUUUUUCUUAUGCUUUCUUUUAAAAAUAUUUUAGUUUUUAUCUGACAAAGGGCUAAUAUCUGACAAAGAGCUAAUAUCUGACGAAGGGCUAAUAU
rnacentral:lncRNA from 1 species